ACCCGGGUAGCUCAAUUGGCUAGAGCGUGGGACUUUUAAAGAUCAUUGCCAACAAAUUGCCUUGAUCCUUUGAGACAUCCCAAGGCUGGGGGUUCGAGCCCCCCCUCGGGUG